CAAAUUGGAGUGGGGAGAGGUUAAUGCCCUGUGGUAUGACAUGGAGAAAUGACUGAUAGCUAUCUAAAAUUAGCAAGCCAUUCUGUGACAAGCUGAGAAGAGUGUUGCUGUACUUCUCCACACUGGAUGGAUGUGUGGCAGGGUCAGAGCAAGGGGAUAAAGAGGGAGCAAUGAAAGAGAGCAGUAUGUACUGCUGGGGUUAAAGCCACAGAUCUAAGGGCAUAGUCCUGUCUGGUCAGUACUAAAACACACAUUAUUGCUGUAUGCCUCUAACACCUGAAGCAUGCUUUGGUGGGUUUGGUAGAAAUCACAAAUCUUGAAUUACCUUAACCCUAAAUAUCUCCCAGAACCAUACACAAGCAGCAGUGGUAAUACUAGCAUCACUGGUUGAGCUGCAAGAUGGGCACCAAAGCACUGUCUGCUUUUCAGACACCAUGCCCCAAAAGCUGCCUAGAGAGCUGAGGAGCAGUGCAGAUAAAGCCUCCACCGCCCUUCAACGAGGGGAGGAGUUGAGCAGCUGCAGUGCAUGAAGGGAGCUUUCUGCCUUCACCUGUGAAAUAACAUUUUGGUGAACAAUUUCUCUAACAGGUGGGUUGAGCAGCAUCAGUAUGCCUUCACUCUUAGCAGGCAGGGUAGUGCUGGUCAUGCAGCAAUUUCCUUGGCUUUUUCUGUAUAUUUCCAUGUGGCAUGAUCAGUACAAAGAGUUCUGUCACCAUCCUGUGAAAGAACUGGUACCUAAGUUGGGUGAUAGGGACAUGGGAAUAUGGUCCAGCUCUUCUGUACCCUCAGACUGCAUCUUUCACCAGGACAUGGGCAGCAUCUUCCAUAAUAAUUCCUACACACACAGGAGCCCUGUGAGAAAUAAUGGCAAGACCACAGAAAACUUCGAGAUGUCCCUUCUACCUUCUCUGUCCUGCAAUGGUUCCUCUCCUUGAACAGUUGACUGUUCUCAUGUAAGGCUUUGGCAAGGAUUCUGAUGACUCAGCCUGGACCUGUCUCCAGCAGUGACUGACUAUAGAUUUCUCCUGUGUCACAGUCCAGCAUCACUGUU